GAAUUCGCCCUUAGAGUUUGAUCCUGGCUCAGGACGAACGCUGGCGGCGCGCCUAACACAUGCAAGUCGAACGAGCGAGAGAGAGCUUGCUUUCUCAAGCGAGUGGCGAACGGGUGAGUAACGCGUGAGGAACCUGCCUCAAAGAGGGGGACAACAGUUGGAAACGACUGCUAAUACCGCAUAAGCCCACGGCUCGGCAUCGAGCAGAGGGAAAAGGAGCAAUCCGCUUUGAGAUGGCCUCGCGUCCGAUUAGCUAGUUGGUGAGGUAAUGGCCCACCAAGGCGACGAUCGGUAGCCGGACUGAGAGGUUGAACGGCCACAUUGGGACUGAGACACGGCCCAGACUCCUACGGGAGGCAGCAGUGGGGAAUAUUGCACAAUGGGGGAAACCCUGAUGCAGCGACGCCGCGUGGAGGAAGAAGGUCUUCGGAUUGUAAACUCCUGUUGUUGAGGAAGAUAAUGACGGUACUCAACAAGGAAGUGACGGCUAACUACGUGCCAGCAGCCGCGGUAAAACGUAGGUCACAAGCGUUGUCCGGAAUUACUGGGUGUAAAGGGAGCGCAGGCGGGAGAACAAGUUGGAAGUGAAAUCCAUGGGCUCAACCCAUGAACUGCUUUCAAAACUGUUUUUCUUGAGUAGUGCAGAGGUAGGCGGAAUUCCCGGUGUAGCGGUGGAAUGCGUAGAUAUCGGGAGGAACACCAGUGGCGAAGGCGGCCUACUGGGCACCAACUGACGCUGAGGCUCGAAAGUGUGGGUAGCAAACAGGAUUAGAUACCCUGGUAGUCCACACCGUAAACGAUGAUUA
rnacentral:rRNA from 1 species